GCUCCAGUGGCGCAAUUGGUUAGCGCACGGUACUUAUAAUCAGUACACUGUGUAUGAGCAAUGCCGGGGUUGUGAGUUCGAGCCUCACCUGGAGCA
rnacentral:tRNA from 1 species